rnacentral:rRNA from 1 species
CGGGGGAAAAAUUUAUUGCUAUUAGAUGAGCCUAUAUUAGAUUAGCUAGUUGGUGGGGUAAUAGCCUACCAAGGUAAUGAUCUAUAGCUGAUCUGAGAGGAUGAUCAGCCACACUGGAACUGAGAUACGGUCCAGACUCCUACGGGAGGCAGCAGUGGGGAAUAUUGGACAAUGGGCGAAAGCCUGAUCCAGCCAUGCCGCAUGAGUGAAGAAGGCCUUUGGGUUGUAAAGCUCUUUUAGUGAGGAAGAUAAUGACGGUACUCACAGAAGAAGUCCUGGCUAACUCCGUGCCAGCAGCCGCGGUAAUACGGAGAGGGCUAGCGUUAUUCGGAAUUAUUGGGCGUAAAGGGCGCGUAGGCUGGUUAAUAAGUUAAAAGUGAAAUCCCGAGGCUUAACCUUGGAAUUGCUUUUAAAACUAUUAAUCUAGAGAUUGAAAGAGGAUAGAGGAAUUCCUGAUGUAGAGGUAAAAUUCGUAAAUAUUAGGAGGAACACCAGUGGCGAAGGCGUCUAUCUGGUUCAAAUCUGACGCUGAAGCGCGAAGGCGUGGGGAGCAAACAGGAUUAGAUACCCUGGUAGUCCACGCUGUAAACGAUGAAUGUUAAAUAUGGGGAGUUUACUUUCUGUAUUACAGCU